rnacentral:lncRNA from 1 species
GGGUUGGAGCUGGACACCCAGCGUGAGGUCAGACAACUUACUUGAAGGGCUUCCUAGAAUGGCUCAUUUGGUGAAUUCAGUCUUGGGUGGUUUGGCUCUACAUUUCUAGUUGCCUCACAAAAAACUUGGCUGUGCUUUUCCUCCUGUUUUGGGGGACAGUGGGCUCCUCCCUGCCACUUGCCAAGUGCCAAGGAUAUGGUACCGUGUUCCUGAUGAGUUACUUCUAAUGAAACUGUCCCAUGUUCUUUCUAAAGAGAUGGAGCCUGAGACUGUGCAAAAGGAGACCUUCCAGAUGGGAGGAAGUGACAGGGUGCCAUUCUCAGAGGAAGAAAGACAGGCAAUGCCAGACACCAGCACAUCAGAUGUGGCCAAAGGAAGGCAUCUUCCAGCUCCUGAGCCAGAUUCCAUGUUGAUUCCAAGCUGGUAUCUAAAGAGGAAGAAUUCCCACGAGUUCCCUGAAGAAUUCUCUGAAGCACACCCCGAAAUUCCUGAGGAGAUCCAGACAGACUUGGAAGAAGCUCCAUCUGGUUAGCAAUAUAACCCACUCUGUCAACUGUAGAACCACACAAGCUGAGUUUCUUGGUUCUUGUAGGGAUGUGCUGUACCCUACAGAGCAGGAAGUGAUCAGUCAUAUCCUCACUGCAAGGACACUCCAUUUCACACCUUGCAUGGGCUGCUGAGC